ensembl:snRNA U2 U2 spliceosomal RNA
AUCACUCUCGGCCUUUUGGCUAAGAUGAAGUGUAGUAUCUGUUCUUACCAGUUUAAUAUCUGAUACAUCCUCUAUCCGAGGACAAAGUGAAUUAAAAAAAGGGGGAAUUCUUUUUUGUUUUGAUUUUGGAAGAACAGAAAGUUUUCUGUGUUUUGUUUCCUGAUCUCUUGAGUGCCUAGAAAAAUGCCA